rnacentral:lncRNA from 1 species
GUUUGUUGUAAUUAUUAUGGAUAAAAAUAAAUCAGAAAGUGAUGAGAAGUAAGGAAGAGGGAGUGUUUUUUAAUUUUAGCUAGAAUGGUUAGGAAGGGACAUUUGGAAAUAUUUAAUCAGGGAGAGAAUUUCAGAGGAAUGCUGAAGCAUUUCAGGUAGAGGGCACAGUUAGUGCAAAUACCCCAAGGCAUGAGCAAGUCUGGCCUGUUUCAGGAAUAGCAAGAAUAAUGUGGCUGGAGCCUGGUGAAGAGCUGUGUGUGUGUGUGUGUGUGUGUGUGUGUGUGAAUGAAUGAAUAUAACUAAACAAGGUCCUGUUAGCUGCCACCUAAUAGAGUCAAAGAAUCAAGUGUGAGGGAGAAGGAAAGAACUUUAUUAGCAAUAAUCAGCAUUUUGAAAGAUAGUUGGUUCUUGCCUUCCAAUGAUCCUAUUACCCCUUAGGGAGAUUCUCCUUAGGGAGAAUCUUUUUUUAUGAUUUUUCAAGGGAAGAUAUAUGGGUACCAGACAGGUGGGUACCUCUGUUGUUCAGUGUUUCAAAAGUAGCCUCUUCUGGAAGGUAGGCUGUGUACUUUUUAUUCACUAUGUCGGUGGGAGUUGCAGUACAGUAGAUCCAAAGAAGGAAUCAGUGAUCAAACUUUCUGUGUUUUUGAUUAAAGUGGCAUUUGUCUGGUUUUGUUGUUGCCAUUUGUGGACAUUUGCCCUUCCCAGGUGUGACCUGUAACUUGGGACUAGGGAGUGUUUGGGGAGGGAGGACUUUAUGCAUUUCUAAUUGACUUUAGUGUGCAGUUAAUCUGUAAGAGAUCGGGCAAGAAGAAGACAAGAGAAACUUCUGAGAAUUGGGUCUUGAUGAGGUGGAAGACUAAUGUAUGCAUUCAGGUACUUAAUCUGGAGAAGAUUUAAAGUAUGCUGGAGAAUGUGUGUAGAUUAUAUGCAUAUAGUGUGCCAUUUUGUAUAAGGAAUUUGAACAUUCUCAGACUUUGGUAUCUGAGGAGGUCCUGGAACCAGUUCCCUACAUUUAGGGAGGGAUGAUUGUAGUUCUUUUUCUAUGAGACUCAAAGCUGUUUUCAUCUUAAGUGGGGAAAAAAAAUACAACCAAUAGACAAAGUUUUUCCCCCUUCAUUUUUUGGUGUACUGUCCAGAGAUUGUGGUAUGUUUCCAGGAAGAUACAUGUUCUUAGAUAUGCGUUCUUAGAUUGACCCUUCUGUGUUGUUGGCUAAGGGACCUGGGCAGCAGGUACUUUGUGAUGCAGGGCAGGAAGAGCAUGAUGUACUGGGAGUGCACAGAGAACUUGCAGUGAGGUGUGUGUGUGUGUGUGUUUUGCAGAUAGGGAAGAAGGUGCAGACUGGGCUGUAGAGGUGCUUUGGGAUAGCAAGAACUUCAGUCUGUGUAGCUGGAGCAUGCAUUCUUUAAGGCAGAAUAGAUGGGAAAUAAGGUUGAAAAAGUAGUUUGGGCCAUUCAUCAAUUUAACAAAUACAGUUGGCCCUUUGUAUCUGUGGGUCCUAUAACCAUGGAUUCAGCCAACUGCAGAUUGAAGAGGUAGCUGGUGACAGUCUUUUUUCUGCCUCAAUCUGAGCCACCCUGUGUUGGCUAAUGAUACCAGUUUUUUUGUGCAUCUCUCCUGAGACACUUUGUGAAUACAUGGAAAAUAUAUUCUUUUUUUUUUUAUUUUUUCAUUUUUUUGGUUCCAGGAAUUGAACCCAGGAGCACUUAACCACUGAGCCAUAUCCCAACCUUUUUAUAUUUUAUUUAGAGACUGGGUCUCACUAGGUUGCUUAGGGCCUCGCUAAGUUGCUGAGACUGGCUUUGAAUUCAUGUUCCUCCUGCCUCAGCCUCCCGAGCUACUGGGAUUACAGGCUUGUGCCAUUGCACCCAGCUGUAAAAUAUACUUAAUAGAUGUUUUGGUGUAUGUGGUUUGGUGAAAUCAGUUUUUAUAAGUCAAAAAAGAGAUGUUUGAGGAAUACAUUUUGCUGUGCUAUCAUUGGAAGUACUGAUAAUGAUUGGCAUAAUUUCCUACAAUUAAAUUAGUAUCUCUGCCUAUUUUCUGUUUAUACGCUAUUUGUAAAUAGGCUCAGCAAACAAAACUGAUGAAGAAAACCCCACAUUCGGCUAGUGGGCACUUUUCAGUCACAGUAUGAUGUUUCUGUCUGUAUCAAAGCUUCCCUUGAGCUAGUCAAUAACGGGAAUUAUUAAAACCUCAAUUCACCAGAGACUUGCUAGAACUUCUCUCUUAAUGAACUCCUAUUUUGAAGAAAACAUAUAUAUGGAAUUAUCUGAGACUUUAAUAGAGUUCCAGUAAAAAUCAGUGUGUGAUAAUUAGGCUGAAUUCUCAGUAUCAUAGAAAGUUCCUUCUAGAAAAAAAAUAUUCUUAGUAAACUUAAUGCCUUUUAGACUUUUAUCAAGAUACUUUUAAUCAAAAUGUGAUUUCAGAAUAAACUUAAAAUAAUCUGAACAUUUUGUAUUACCUUCAAACUUGAAUAGAAAAAGAUUCCUCUCCCUCCCCCAGAGAUCUUUACUCUUUCUUCCAUUUUUUUUCUGCCUGUGCUUUUGGACCUUCCCUUUGUAGAAACAAAUGCAGUUUUCUGUGGACUGAGUGGGGGAAGCAGAGGCAGGAAUAUUGUAACUGAUAAAUUAAUGUUCUCAAUCUUCCAGCCCCAGUGGUCUUCAGGCUUUUUUUUUUUUUUUAAAAAACCUCCUCAAAGAACAAAAAAGCGCCGACUGUGCAUUGCCUUGGGUGUUUAAGUUGACAAGUGAAUCUUGGCUUGAACUUUCUCUGAUAGAAAUUAAGGUUGUGUUUGCCUAUUUGACUUCACAAUGAGGACUGGCUUUGCCAAUUGGUUACAUGCUGAAUAUUUUUUUUUUUAAUGACCUGUAUGAGGAAAAAAAAUAUGGCUUCAAGUUUUAACAAAAUGUACAUUUUUAAAAUACAUUUAUGAAUGCCACAUGUCUCACAAAUUUCUAGACCGAUAUGUAGACAAAGCUUGGUGUUAAAAUAGAUGAGGCUUGGUGCUAUCCCAGAAACUUGUUAUCUGAAUGAAACAAAGUGCAAUCCAAGUUAGUUAUUAUCCUUCUGUGUGGUGUCCCAGAGGUUAUUUUAUACCCCAGGAAAAUGUUCCAUUGUGAGAUUCAGGAAAUAAAGUGGGAAAAGUACAAUUAUAAGGGGGGUUGGGUAGGAGAACUAGCAGUGCCACAGCAGUUCUCAGAUCUGCUUUAGGAGAGGAUAGUGGGAGCACUGAGUAGAUUCUCAAACUACCAUAACAUCUCGUGUUGUCAACUCCAUGACUCUGGAGCUUUAAUUUAAAGACACCUGCUCUAACUCAUUUCAUAGUGCUUUUAUAUUUGGCUGGACAAGUGAGAAGGUUAGAUUAUCCCUUAACUGUAUUCCGUAGAAUAUUAUAACUUUUUCUUUAGUAAUUUUCAGCAAAGGUGAGAAAUAAUGAAAACCAUGUUAGCAAGGUCUAUACCAGGACAGGCAGGGAAGGUCCUGGUGAUUAAUGGUGGUAGGGACUGAACACACAUCCAUAUUCUACCUCUACUACUUCACUUUAGAAAUCCUAUGUAAUCUUUUAAAAUAUUUAUAGACUCUAGACUUUGAGUGUUGUAACAUUAUGGCACUUAGGAGAUAGGUAAGACAGAUUCUUUUGAUAUAUAUAUAUUUUAAAGAACAGACUCAGAAUUCUUAAAUUUAAUACUUAAAACUCUGUUCCAGAAGAUCUACUUGGUAGAGUGUGUACAUUCACACAUAGGAAUGCUUAAACAUGGUUAUAGAAUGAUAGAAAUAUAAUAUUUAUGAUCAGUCGUUAUGAGAAGUAGAAGUUUUACUGAAACAAGAAUUUUGGUCAUCAUGAAUGAGUUAUAUGUGUUUCUGGAAAAUUCCAAAAUAAUAGGGCUUAUGGGAAAACAGUAUUGAGGCAGACCACUGAAAAUCUGUGCAACUUGGUAACCAAGCAAUAACAGAAACAAUAAUUGGCAUCUUGGGGGAAACAUAGAUAACUCAGGCAGGCAGCUCAGUGUGGCUGGAAGCUGCCCUAGGGGACAUUAAAAAUGCAUUGGACCAAGUUGAUUGGGAAUGUUGAUGGUAGAUGCUGAUGUAAUGCAUAGUGUGGGCUGCCACUGAGACUACACAGGAGGCAGUGCCACCAGCCAUUAACAGAGCUGUGCUGGCCUGGAGGUAUGUACCUCUCUGGAGAGGGGCCCAGGUGAAAUGCUAAUUUCUGAUUUUCUAAAACAGAAUUGAAAAGACUUCUGCCUGGACAGCAACUGAGCUGAGAGAUGUUUCCUGCUGAAUGUUAUAAAUCUUUUCCCAUUCAUCUGGCUUCCCUAGCUGAUGCAAAAUUCCAUGUGAAACAGUACAGUUCCUAUACCAUACCAGUUAUAAGUGAGCUAAUGGUGUUCCAGAAUCAGAUACUGCAGCAGAACAUAUUGUAUUUCGUUGCAGACUGGGAUUUUUCCCCCCCUUGACACUGGGACUUCAAGUCUUCAUGAUGGUGGUAGAAAUAAUCAAUAAAAUUAUACAUCCGUUUUUAACCUUGGUGUCCCUGGAAUCGGAGCUAUAAACUAUUUCCGGGAUUUCAAUUCAGAAUGAAAAUUUCAGUUCGUGAUCAUUGCUCAUUUCAGCAGCAUGCUUUUUUUGUUUGCAUAGUUUUUUUAAAAGUUUGUCAUCAAGUUGUGAUUACUAAAAAUAAUAUCCUUACUUAGGCUUGUACAGUCAACACACUACAGAAAGUCCAGAGACUGUGCUUGCUAAAGUGACAUCCUUUAAUAUGAUUUAAGAAUAGCAGAUUGGCUAACAUGCACAGGACUGUAACAGGGUCAGUAUAUUCCAUUUGCUUUAAUAUAAGGCAAAUAGAAAAGUCAAGAGAUAGGCAAUAUAUUUGGGAAAAAUAACUUUGUUAAUGUUUCUGUUGGGGGUGAUCUCAUUUUUUUUUUUUUUUUUUAAGUCAAGGAAAAGAAUUAUAGUAAUAAAGAUUUCCUGUUUGGAGCUUCAUUCAGUAGCCAGCAAGAGCUUUCACUUUUUUGUCGUUUUUUGAAGUACCGGGAAUUGAACCAAGGAGUUCUCUACUAAUGAGAAACUACAUCCCCAACUCUUUUUAUUUUAUUUUGAGCAGGGUCUCCCUAAAGUUCCCAGACUGGCCCUGACUUUCCAUCUUCCUUCCUCCUGAGUUGCUGGGAUUACAAGCAUGUGUCACUGGCCCAGCUAGGGCAUUAUUUGCUUUAGAGUAAACUGCCUCUGAUAAUACUUUGUUAACUGCUGUUCUUUUUUUUUUUUUCCCCCAUUAAAUUGGUUCCUUGUGAGGUAUGGUGGUACACACCUCUAAGUCCAGAGACCUAGGAGGCUGAGCUAGAGGAUCACAAAUUGUAGUCUAGCCUGGCCAACUUAGCCAGACCUUGAAAAUAAAAAGGACUUCGAAGGUAGCUCCGUGGUAAAGUGCCCCUUGAUUUCAAUCCCAGUUCUGCUCCCCUGCUACAAAAAAGAAGUGGUUCUUUAAGAUAAAUCAUAUUUAUAAAAACUGUUGAGUAUUUCUAAGGAUAAAUAGCAUCUUAGAUUUGAUUUUACCAAGGGAAGUUGACUAAUACCAAAUUACUUUUAAUGUCAUUUUAGCUUUUCUAGGUGACCAAUUCAAUCAGAGACUUAAAGCAUUGAAUUUUUUUUUUUACAAUAGUGAAGAAGUAUAACUUCUACCAUUGGAACAGCCCCUACCCUUUUCCCAAUGAGAAACUACUUUAAAUUUUCCAAAAUCUUAUGAAAUACUAAAAUCAAGUUUGGAGUUACUGUUUGGGACAGAAAAUAUUAGUUGCUGU